GAGGACAGUGGGAAAUCCAGGACAAAGGGAAUGGGAGCUACUGCUAUGUGUAAUGAGAACGCAAGCCAGGGGAAGCGUCAUGGUCGCAGGGACUCUUGUGCCACCUGUGGCUGUGUGACCUUAUUCAAGAUGCACGACUUCUCUGAGCCUCACAAACCCCCCAGGGCUGCUAGGAUGGUGCCAGGGAUUUGUGAACUGAGAAACAAAUGGGGACGUGGCUGAGUAUAAAGUCGCAGCCCUGGCCCCAGCUGAAGAGCGUACGGUGUGCACAGUUGUCCGGUUGUCCGUCCGCACAUCUGGGUGGUGCUCCUCCUCAGACGAUGGAGGUGUGGUGCUGACUGGUCCUUCAGCAGCUCCCAGCCCCUGUUUGCUCCUGCAAAUUACCAUGCUCACUCAUCACUCCCACGUGGGCCCCGCCCCAAGAGGCGUCCUUCCCCAAAACAACACGCAUCCUCAAACCGAGGAUCCCACCCACACUCCCAUGCAGAGACAUGGCUUCAAAUAAGCCAGCUGCCAGCUGUUCCUCGGGGCUGAGAGAAUGUCCCACCAAGACACAUUUCCCAGAGAAUGAGGAAGACUCCACAGCUGCUGAGGAGGCAAGAGACAAGUACGGAGAUCCUCUCAUGGCUGGGUGACUUAAUCAAAGUCCUCUUUGCUAUUAAGUUAAUAAAAGUUUCCCUUGCGUCUU
ensembl:antisense Lrp8os1 low density lipoprotein receptor-related protein 8, apolipoprotein e receptor, opposite strand 1